rnacentral:lncRNA from 1 species
UCACACCACAGCAAUGCAGCUUCUGGAAACCCAUUGUGACAGUGCAGGGGGCCUGGAACGUUCCUGUGACUGGCUCUGGUGGGUGAGGCCUGCUGAGGCAUGUAGGUGACCAAGCAGUGCCCCCAAGGUCAGCUAAAGGGAUGGCUUUUAUCAUCCGCUGGUGAAAACUGAUGAACUGGUACUGAAUGUGACUGCGGUACCUCCUGGAAGACCAAGCGUCUCUAACCUGCUCCCGGGUCAGCAGCUCCCGGGCCUUGGAGGCUGCCUCUGAGUGCUCAGCAGGCUCACCCACGGACUUCCUGCUCUCUCAUGCCACCACGCCUUAGUCAAAGACUUUUACAUGCUUCCCUGCUCCUGCUAUUGAACGUGGCUUGGGACUGCUAUGGAGCUCACUCUGGCCCAUUUUUCACCAUCAUGUAACUGACUCAGCCUUUCAAUUUCCACUCCAAAUUCCUCUGCCUGGUGGAUUUCUGUCUCUGUAAUAACUAAAUGUGGCUGGCCAGACUUGGGAGUGGUGGGACAGAAUCAUAAAGAACCCUAGACUGUUCCUCCUAGAGGUGUGGGUAAAGCAGAUUCUCGAAGGAAGGAGGUUCACACGUACAUGCUCUACUUGCUUUAUCUGUCUAACAUAUCUCCCAGGUUACAACUAUUUUUGGAAAAAUUGCCCUGGAGAGAAAACUGAAAACUGGAUAAACAGAACCCUCACAACAAGGGACAGUCUUGACUGAGGUGGAAGAGGCAGAAAUUCCUUCUGGAGAGAAAAAAAUACCACCUUUGUGAGACCCAGAGAUUCACAGCUGGCCAGGCAGGAGCCAUCCUAAGAUGUUUGCAAAAUCCGUGGACCUGAGUUAUAAUGACGUGUGCUGCUAAUAGAUGGUAUCAUUUAGCAUGCAAAGUAGUACACUUCCCUAAAUUUCAGUGCUUAUUUCACUCGAUGUGCCAAUCAGCUGCCUCAUUUGGGCUCCUGAAGAACCAGAAUUUUCAGCUCCGCUGGCCUGGAUUCCUUGUCUCGUCAGCACAAUCCUCUGCUGCUCCAGAGUUUGGCUAUUGCGGGAACUCAGCUUCUGUUCAUCUUUCCUGCCCCUGCUCUCAUCAAGCCUGACUUUGUCAUUCAAGUGGAAGAUUUGACUGGCCAGCCAAUUCCAACCUACUAGUGUCCUCCAGCUGUCUAUGGGUGGGACCACUGUCUACAAAGUGACCACAUGCCAGAGCUUAUAGACUGGGGUCCCACCUUUGUCCAGGGAAUGUGGCCCAGCCAACUGUUUUGGGAUGUUUGUGACAACUGUGCAAAUUAUGGCCACUUUUUCCAUAAGAAAUUGUACAUGUGGCCAACACUCAGAGCGUUAUAUCUCUUAAACAGGUUUAGUAGUUCAGUGUUAAAUUAUUUUCUAAUUUUGUAAAAUUGGUAGUGAAUCUUAUAUGUAAACUCUAUUAACUUGAAUUUUAUGUCAGAACACUACCUAUCAUGGGUGUCAG